rnacentral:rRNA from 1 species
UACUUAUUUUUCAAGCGUUAAUCGGAAUUACUGGGCGUAAAGCGUGCGCAGGCGGUUGUGCAAGACAGAUGUGAAAUCCCCGGGCUCAACCUGGGAAUGGCAUUUGUGACUGCACGGCUAGAGUGUGUCAGAGGGGGGUAGAAUUCCACGUGUAGCAGUGAAAUGCGUAGAUAUGUGGAGGAAUACCGAUGGCGAAGGCAGCCCCCUGGGAUAACACUGACGCUCAUGCACGAAAGCGUGGGGAGCAAACAGGAGUAGAUAACCCAGGAGUC